rnacentral:rRNA from 1 species
AUUGAACGCUGGCGGCAGGCCUAACACAUGCAAGUCGAGCGGAGCGGCGGACGGGUGAGUAAUGCCUAGGAAUCUGCCUUGUCGUGGGGGAUAACGUCCGGAAACGGGCGCUAAUCCCGCAUACUCUCCGAUGAGUCUAGGUCGGAUUUGCUAGUUGGUGGGGUAAAGGCCUACCAGCGCGACGAUCCGUAACUGGUCUGAGAGGAUGAUGAGUCACGCGGGAACUGAGACACGGUGCAGACUCCUACGGGAGGCAGCAGUGGGGAAGAUUGGACAAGGAGCGAAAGCCUAAUCCAGCCAUGCCGCGUGUGUGAAGAAGGGCAUCGGAUUGUAAAGCACUUUAAGUUGGGAAGCGUUACCAACAGAAUAAGCACCGGCUAACUUCGUGCCAGCAGCCGCGGUAAUAC